rnacentral:lncRNA from 1 species
AUUUUAAAGUAAAUUAUUUUUCUGUACAAUGGCCUUUCAUCAUAAAUAUGAUCUUGUUAUUUCUUCAUCCAAUUUUUAAAUGAGACAAUACAGUUCAGUUUUCUUUCAUUCCUUCCCAGAGCCUGCCUUGCCCUUCUCUGGUCUGUGUAAAUAAAGCCAGACUUUUUGAUCUCCUGGGGCCAGCAUCUGCAUAUUCUGUCCAUUCAUCUUGUCUGAGGAGAGCCCCACCUAUUCGAGAGAUAACACUCAAGCAAAAAGAAUAUAAGGAAUUUACCCCAGCUUGUGUUUAAAUUGAAUAAGAAUUCCAUCAAUCUACUCCAGAGAAUGUGUCUCCAAGUGUCUCU